rnacentral:rRNA from 1 species
AGGACGAACGCUGGCGGCGUGCCUAACACAUGCAAGUCGAACGGGACCAGGGGCAACUCUGGUUCAGUGGCGGACGGGUGCGUAACACGUGAGGAACAUGACUUUCGGCGGGGGAUAGCCGGCCCAACGGCCGGGUAAUACCGCGUACGACCUCUCGGGGACAUCCCCGGUUGGUGAAAGCAGCAAUGCACCGAAAGAGUGCCUCGCGGCCCAUCAGCUAGUUGGUGAGGUAACGGCUCACCAAGGCGACGACGGGUAGC